rnacentral:rRNA from 1 species
AAAGGCGCUUUCGGGUGUCGCUGAUGGAUGGACCCGCGGUGCAUUAGCUAGUUGGUGAGGUAACGGCUCACCAAGGCCACGAUGCAUAGCCGACCUGAGAGGGUGAUCGGCCACAUUGGGACUGAGACACGGCCCAAACUCCUACGGGAGGCAGCAGUAGGGAAUCUUCGGCAAUGGACGAAAGUCUGACCGAGCAACGCCGCGUGAGUGAAGAAGGUUUUCGGAUCGUAAAACUCUGUUGUUAGAGAAGAACAAGGAUGAGAGUAACUGUUCAUCCCUUGACGGUAUCUAACCAGAAAGCCACGGCUAACUACGUGCCAGCAGCCGCGGUAAUACGUAGGUGGCAAGCGUUGUCCGGAUUUAUUGGGCGUAAAGCGAGCGCAGGCGGUUUCUUAAGUCUGAUGUGAAAGCCCCCGGCUCAACCGGGGAGGGUCAUUGGAAACUGGGAGACUUGAGUGCAGAAGAGGAGAGUGGAAUUCCAUGUGUAGCGGUGAAAUGCGUAGAUAUAUGGAGGAACACCAGUGGCGAAGGCGGCUCUCUGGUCUGUAACUGACGCUGAGGCUCGAAAGCGUGGGGAGCAAACAGGAUUAGAUACCCUGGUAGUCCACGCCGUAAACGAUGAGUGCUAAGUGUUGGAGGGUUUCCGCCCUUCAGUGCUGCAGCUAACGCAUUAAGCACUCCGCCUGGGGAGUACGACCGCAAGGUUGAAACUCAAAGGAAUUGACGGGGGCCCGCACAAGCGGUGGAGCAUGUGGUUUAAUUCGAAGCAACGCGAAGAACCUUACCAGGUCUUGACAUCCUUUGACCACUCUAGAGAUAGAGCUUCCCCUUCGGGGGCAAAGUGACAGGUGGUGCAUGGUUGUCGUCAGCUCGUGUCGUGAGAUGUUGGGUUAAGUCCCGCAACGAGCGCAACCCUUAUUGUUAGUUGCCAUCAUUCAGUUGGGCACUCUAGCAAGACUGCCGGUGACAAACCGGAGGAAGGUGGGGAUGACGUCAAAUCAUCAUGCCCCUUAUGACCUGGGCUACACACGUGCU